rnacentral:rRNA from 1 species
CUUGAACGCUGGCGGCAGGCCUAACACAUGCAAGUCGAACGAGUGGCGGACGGGUGAGUAAUGUCUGGGAAACUGCCUGAUGGAGGGGGAUAACUACUGGAAACGGUAGCUAAUAACGCAUACCAUCAGAUGUGCCCAGAUUGGAUUAGCUAGUUGGUGGGGUAACGGCUCACCACGGCGACGAUCCCUAGCUGGUCUGAGAGGAUGACCGGCCAAACGGGAACGGAGCCACGGUCCAGACUCUUACGGGAGGCAGCAGUGGGGAAUAUUGCACAAUGGGCGCAAGCCGGAUGCAGCCAUGCCGCGUGUAUGAAGAAGGCCUUCGGUUUGUAAAGUACUUUCAGCGGGGAGGCGUUACCCGCAGAAGAAGCACCGGCUAACUCCGUGCCAGCAGCCGCGGUAAUUC